AUGUUCAAGCUGGUUUUAGAAAAGGCAGAGGAACCAGAGAUCAAAUUGCCAACAUCCGCUGGAUCAUGGAAAAAGCAAGAGAGUUCCAGAAAAACAUCUAUUUCUGCUUUAUUGACUAUGCCAAAGCCUUUGACUGUGUGGAUCACAAUAAACUGGAAAAUUCUGAAAGAGAUGGGAAUACCAGACCACCUAACCUGUCUCUUGAGAAAUCUGUAUGCAGGUCAGGAAGCAACAGUUACAACUGGACAUGGAACAACAGACUGGUUCCAAAUAGGAAAAGGAAUAUGUCAAGGCUGUAUAUUGUCACCCUGCUUAUUUAACUUCUAUGCAGAGUACAUCAUGAGAAACGCUGGACUGGAAGAAACACAAGCUGGAAUCAAGAUUACCGGGAGAAAUAUCAAUAACCUCAGAUAUGCAGAUGACACCACCCUUAUGGCAGAAAGUGAAGAGGAACUAAAAAGCCUCUUGAUGAAAGUGAAAGAGGAAAGCGAAAAAGUUGGCUUAAAGCUCAACAUUCAGAAAACGAAGAUCAUGGCAUCCGGUCCCAUCACUUCGUGGGAAAUAGAUGCGGAAACAGUGGAAACAGUGUCAGACUUUAUUUUGGGGGGCUCCAAAAUCACUGCAGAUGGUGACUGCAGCCAUGAAAUUAAAAGAUGCUUACUCCUUGGAAGAAAAGUUAUGACCAACCUAGACAGUAUAUUCAAAAGCAGAGACAUUACUUUGCUGACUAAGGUCUGUCUAGUGAAGGCUAUGGUUUUUCCUAUGGUCAUGUAUGAAUGUGAGAGUUGGACUGUGAGGAAGGCUGAGCACCAAAGAAUUGAUGCUUUUGAACUGUGGUGUUUGAGAAGACUCUUGAGAGUCCCUUGGACUGCAAGGAGAUCCAACCAGUCCAUUCUGAAGAAGAUCAGCCCUGGGAUUUUUUUGGAAGGAAUGAUGCUAAAGCUGAAACUCCAGUACUUUGGCCACCUCAUGCGAAGAGUUAACUCAUUGGGAAAGACUCUGAUGCUGGGAGGGAUUGGGGGCAGGAGGAGAAGGGGACGACAGAGGCUGAGAUGGCUGGAUGGCAUCACGGACUUGAUGGACGUGAGUCUGAGUGAACUCCGGGAGUUGGUGAUGGACAGGGAGGCCUGGCGUGCUGCGAUUCAUGGGGUUGCAAAGAGUCGGACACGACUCAGUGACUAA
rnacentral:lncRNA from 1 species